AUUCAACUGUACCGUACCACCUUCCACAACAAUACCACCAGGAAUGCAGCCAAGCAUAGAUAUAGGAGAGUUAGAUUGCUGACUCUGCUGAAGAGGCGCGCCAAAUUUGAAGAUCCAAGAUGGCGACUUUUUGCAUUUAAUAAUUAAUAAUAAUUUAAUGCUUAUAUCGUGCAAAUUUACAUUCAGAUAUGAUCAAAUGCGCGUAAUUUACGUCGUCCUACUGUUUCUGAUCCCGUUGAACCACCUUUUUUUGGAAGAACUAACUGGUGUGAAAGUUUUGAAUGUAUAUUUGUUAUAAUUAGUAGGAUUUACAGUUUAAAAUUCAACCGGGCAAGAAUGGGCAAAGACGAAAAUGGCGCGAAACUGCCGGCCCGGUUUCUUUUCCUGUGUAUUCCUUCAGUCUUUUACCAGCUUUUCUAAAGUAAUACAGGGUGUAUAAAAAAAAACUGAACAGAUUUGAAAUUGCUCUCAAUUUUCGCAAAACACCUAUUUGUAUCUGUUUUUUAUAUCUAUAGCUUCUUUGGGUACUUAUAAUGUAGAAUAAUGAAAAAAAUUUCUCAAACUAAAAUUUUGUGAACCAGGGGUGUGUGUCUUUUCCAACAAACUAAAAAUAGCUCACGCACAAAAUUUAAAAGUUGUAGUCAUAUUUUGAGUGAAUUGAUGGAAACUUUGUUGGGUUUUUA